rnacentral:tRNA from 1 species
GGCGUUUUCGGCCAGCAGCGACUGAUUCGAAAUCAGUUGCCCCGCAAGGGGUUGAGGGUUCGAGUCCCUUGCCCU